GACGAACGCUGGCGGCGUGCCUAAUACAUGCAAGUAGAACGCACAGUUUAUACCGUAGCUUGCUACACCAUAAACUGUGAGUUGCGAACGGGUGAGUAACGCGUAGGUAACCUGCCUGGUAGCGGGGGAUAACUAUUGGAAACGAUAGCUAAUACCGCAUAAUAUUGAUUAUUGCAUGAUAAUUGAUUGAAAGAUGCUAUUGCAUCACUACCAGAUGGACCUGCGUUGUAUUAGCUAGUAGGUGAGGUAACGGCUCACCUAGGCGACGAUACAUAGCCGACCUGAGAGGGUGAUCGGCCACACUGGGACUGAGACACGGCCCAGACUCCUACGGGAGGCAGCAGUAGGGAAUCUUCGGCAAUGGACGAAAGUCUGACCGAGCAACGCCGCGUGAGUGAAGAAGGUUUUCGGAUCGUAAAGCUCUGUUGUAAGGGAAGAACGGGGGUGAGAGUGGAAAGUUCACACUGUGACGGUAUCUUACCAGAAAGGGACGGCUAACUACGUG
rnacentral:rRNA from 1 species